AUGUACUGUACUCACCCUUCUUUUUGUGAUGUUUAUGAGAUGAUAAAAUGCCUACAGGAUGAGAGGAAGUGAGGUGAAUGAUGUAGGCAUUGUGAUGUAGAUGUGGUGUUAGGCUACUUUUGACCGGAGAGUAAGUCAGAAGGAGGAUCAUCUGCUUCCAGAUCCUGGUUGACCACAGUCAAGUCUGGAAAUACAGCUUUCUAACAGAAUGGAAAUGAGGUUUAACUGUGCUACUUACCCACAGUUUGAAAAUUAAGUGCAACCAUUUGGCAACCAGCAUUCCAGAAGAGCUGAGGCAUGUAGUUGGAUGAAUCCACACGGGUUCCUUUUGGAUAUAUCCUGCUGAGCUGCAUUUUGUUAUAUCUGGACCAUCAUAAAUCAAACAAAUGGCACGUGUGGCUUUGGCUGGGUCAUUUCAGCAGUCAAUCGUCAAAUCAAGGAUACUCUACAAAUUCCACUGGAGACUUUGUCAGUUGCUCGAGUCCUUUGGUUUCCACGAAGGAAGACAUUUCAAAACUUCUAUUUCUUUCUGAGUUAACGACAACAAAAAAGGGGUAGCAGGUUUAAAAUGAACUGUGACGCUUUUGACCACUAGAUGGCAGAAGGAGACCAUGAACUAUAUGUCCAGACGGCGCAGCAGGGACUGACAAACUAGGGGAUGAGCCUCUGUGACCAGAAGUCAGUUCUUAGACACCUACCUCAUCCAUUGAAGAUUUUUUACAGUCGUCAUCAUCGUCAUCGUCGUCACUCUCAGUAUCAGCUUCCCCUGUCAAAUUUUAAUAGCAGAUCAUGAAGUAAACAUUUACAAGUUUGAAGCACAUGUUAA